CCCAAAUUGAGAAAUAGAAACCCUAACCCUUAAACCCUUAACCCAGCCACCGAAACCCUUCCCCCAAACCCAACAGCUUACAUGAAAUAGAAAACAAAGAGAAAGAGACUGAGAGAGGGAGGCGCAUCGCCGGUAGGGAUUGGGCCACCGUUGCGUGGUCGUUGAACUAGAGGGAAGAGCUGCCGCCGCCACGCCUCACCGUCGAAGCUCCACGUUGUUGUCACCGCCGUUUGCGAAGAGAGAGGAAGCCCGCGAAGUCGCUGCUGAGCCACCGCCGCUGUGUCCUACCUGCGCCGCUGUUCAAGCCUAUCCCCAUCCAUGGAGUCGCGAGGAGCGCCGCAGUCAUCGUCGUGGUGUGUGGGCUUCGUGCAAAGAGAAGUGACAGACUGUGACAGGAGAGGAGGUGGACCGUUUCUGCUGUUGUCGUGCCGUGAACGCUGCCGUGGUGGAUGGCGUCACCGCUGUCUAGGUUCCUGUGGUCCAAGUCGCCAUUGAUGGAGAAGACGCCACUGAGGAGCAGAGCCUCUAUUUCGUGCCAGUCACGACGAAGCUGCCACGGGUGUUGCUGUCUCGCUGCCAUCGAAGGUCCAUCACCGCCAAUCCACGCCGCUGCUGAAGAUGGUAUGCCAAACUAUCGUCCUUGUUGCUGAAGAAGACCAUUGGAGUUGCUAUUCUGGCUCUGAGUUGUAUUUGCUCUUGCUUCCUAUUCGAUUCAAAUCCUUUGUCCUAUUGCAACCAUCGUCGAUGCCUUAGGAAAUUGAGACUGUUUUUAUUCCCGUUAAUGCUCCUGCUGCUGUUCGAUUGAUGUCGCUACUGCUGUCUUGAGUUCAUUGUUAAUGCGUCAUUGAGCAAAUGGAGCUGGCUUUCUUUCACAAUUGCUUCAGUGCCAUAUGUUCCUAAUUUGCAAUAAACAAGCUUCCCCUUCACAGGUGCUGAGCUUUCAUAUGGUAAAGUGGUUGAAACAAAAGUUUUCGAGUGUUGAGAAGGAAGAAUAGCAAUUCCAGAAACAAUCUAUCCUGGUAGAGUCUGAAUUGUAUUGCUCUCACGUCUGUGGACGUGUUAGUGUGUAUAUCACUAUAUAAAACUGAUAUUGAGACAAGUGUAUUCACUCGACUAUAUUGAUAUGUUAAUUGGUUACUUUAAUCACAACUUAUCUUAAUUAUUGAUUA